rnacentral:rRNA from 1 species
UACGUAGGGGGCAAGCGUUAUCCGGAAUUAUUGUGCGUAAAGAGUACGUAGGUGGUUUCCUAAGCGAGGGGUUUAAGGCAAUGGCUUAACCAUUGUUCGCCCCCCGAACUGGGUAACUUGAGUGCUGGAGGGGAAAGCGGAAUUCCUAGUGUAGCGGUGAAAUGCGUAGAUAUUACACAGAACACCGAUUGCGAAGGCAGCUUACUAAUCCAUCAUUGACGCUGAGGCACGAAAGCGUGGGGAUCAAACAGGAUUAGAUACCCGUGUAGUCCCUGAGCGGGCU